rnacentral:lncRNA from 1 species
CACUGAGAUAAAUCCCCAGCCCACAUAUGCAUUUUUGAAUAAAUCAUGGUACCAUUUAUUUGACUCUCUUUAGAAUGAUAAAUCUUGGCCUUGGAGGUAAGGUCAUUUCUUCAAACUGAUAUUUGUUAAUUGCUGGGUAGCAUAAUGGCCCGGGCCACGCCCAUGGCACGGUGAGGUCUCAGAGGUGUCUUGCAGCCCCACCCCCACCUGACGCUCUCAAAGCUGCAGCGACCGGCUCCGUUGAGACAAGACAAGCAGCUUGGGGUUCCUGCGGCCGUCCCGGGCCAUGCCCACGGCACGGUUGUGUACUGAGUGUGAGUUGGGGGCAAUCAGCAGCCCAGGGGCUAUUUUACGUCCAGUGUGAGGAAAAGUUCAGUUGAAGAGAUCCUAGUAGAUGACCUCACUUCUUUAUGAUGACACUUUGCUCAGAACCCUGUUGCCAAGCAACACAUAGCACCACUGACUGAUGCCUGCUCACUUGUCUGGAGACACAGGACAUGUCCCACUCCAGGAUGAAAAGGAGUCAAGCCUGACUCUGGAUACUCAAGCUUGCUUAGAGCUUUUGAAGAUGGAUGUAAGGGAAUCCAUGGUCAACCAUCUUGUGCGAUCCUUGCUUCAAGGGAACUGUUUGUUCCUGCACAAGUUUUUGCAAAACUACCAAGAUUUGGGACCAUGCAGCAGGAGCUGGAUCUGCUGUUGAAAAGCCCAGGCAGCAGCACCAGUGCCAGGUCCAACUGGAGAGCGAGAGGCAGGUCCAGCACCAGCCUCUAAGCCAGCAGUAGAUCCACCACCCAUUCUGGGGCAAGAGUUGGCUGCAGUGCCAGCUCCAUGGCCAGGUGCACCUAGAAAGCUACCUUGGGUUAUUCCAAA